UACGGGGGGGGCAAGCGUUGUUCGGAAUUACUGGGCGUAAAGGGCUCGUAGGCGGCCAACUAAGUCGGACGUGAAAUCCCCAGGCUCAACCUGGGAACUGCGUCCGAUACUGGAUGGCUUGAAUUCGGGAGAGGGAUGCAGAAUUCCAGGUGUAGCGGUGAAAUGCGUAGGUAUCUGGAGGAAUACCGGUGGCGAAGGCGGCAUCCUGGACCGACAUUGACGCUGAGGAGCGAAAGCUAGGGGAGCAAACGGG
rnacentral:rRNA from 1 species